AUUCCACUCUGAGGGUGUGGAGGGGAUUUCCGCCGUAAUCUCCAGUGAAAGAGGUGCGUGCUGUGUGCUGGAAACACACUCAUGAGCUAAUUCGAGGCAAAGUAAAGCUCUCAUCUGGGAUUGGUAAGAGUCUCUCCAAGCACCCCAAAGACUUCCAGCUCAUUCUUGAUUGCACAUGGCAGCCUCUGACCUGCACCGAAGGCACCCGCUGCCAUGGAAGAUUGAUGAUUAUCGAUGCAGAAACCCUUUGCUAAUUCAGCGUACAAGCAUUCGUCGGCGGUGUUAAUCCGUUUCCAAUGGAGAAGGCCAAGGGGGUGUUUGAAAGCAGGCUGUGUGUCAUCCCUUCAGCUCUGACAGAGUGCCUGGAAGGAAAGGUGAGGAAAGGUUGUGUACACAGGUGAUUACUUAAUCACUGUAUCCUCUGUGAGAGAGGGUCAACAAAAG
ensembl:lncRNA